GGGACAACAGGGACAAGGUGAGGCAGGGAAAGGCUGGGAGACAAGUCCUGGCACCACCAAGCCAUAUCCCACAAAUAGCAAUGAGAUAAUACAGAAUAGGCCAGAACCAACCCGGAAAGAGACGCACGGUGAAAAUUCAGCACAACCUGAGGGAAAGCUAGGAUCUCUAGCCGUGCGGUGCUUCAUGGACUCUUCCCUGCAGGUACCAGCCAGCGAUUACCAGCCUCCAGUAGCCUGUCAGGGACAGGCGGGACCUCAUAAGUCCUUUCACCCUCUAAGAUGAAAUGUUGCAGGGCCCACGCUUGUGCAGGCCACCACAGCUGCCAUCAUCAUAUACCAGAGGCCAUCUCUCCUGAGUCUUUUGAGGAAGAGCAAAGAUGAUAUGUGACUCCAAGGCUGAGGGUCUGGUUGCGUCACGGUGGUAGGAGAUGCACCCCCUUUCCGCACUUCCUGUUUUCUGCUAAUGAUUUCCAGGUAUAUCUUGUCCAGCUCAUAGCCCACAACCCAGGAAGGAGGCCCAUGUCUUCCGCUGCCCGCUGAGCCUCAGGAGUUAAUAAUUAAGGGUUUAAGAAGAUAGAAGCGUCUGGGAGGCCCCGCCCGGCCGCUGUGCUGCUGCUCCUGAGAGAUAGCAAAG
rnacentral:lncRNA from 1 species